UGGGGAAUAUUGGACAAUGGGCGAAAGCCUGAUCCAGCCAUGCCGCGUGUGUGAAGAAGGUCUUCGGAUUGUAAAGCACUUUAAGUUGGGAGGAAGGGCAGUAAGCGAAUACCUUGCUGUUUUGACGUUACCGACAGAAUAAGCACCGGCUAACUCUGUGCCAGCAGCCGCGGUAAUACAGAGGUUGCAAGCGUUAAUCGGAAUUACUGGGCGUAAAGCGCGCGUAGGUGGUUCGUUAAGUUGAAUGUGAAAGCCCCGGGCUCAACCUGGGAACUGCAUCCAAAACUGGCGAGCUAGAGUAGGGCAGAGGGUGGUGGAAUUUCCUGUGUAGCGGUGAAAUGCGUAGAUAUAGGAAGGAACACCAGUGGCGAAGGCGACCACCUGGGCUCAUACUGACACUGAGGUGCGAAAGCGUGGGGAGCAAACAGG
rnacentral:rRNA from 1 species